rnacentral:rRNA from 1 species
AUUUACGCAAAUAANAAUUUUAAUUUUUAUGGAGAGGUGGAAUUUGGACAUAAAAAGUUAUUUUGAUAUUUUUAUUGUAUUUGAUGCUUCGAAAGUUGUUAGCGAGACCGGGAUUAGAUACCCCGUUAUUUUUUCUUGUAAAUAGNGGUUAUUUUGAUUAACUUACCUGAGUAUUACGGGUUAAUAAAAUUUAUGUGUGAUAAAGUCAUACUAAUUUAGUUAGUAACUUAAAACUCAAAAAACUUGGCGGUGCUUUAUUUCCUGCCAGGGGAACCUGUCCUGUAAUCGAUAGUCCACGAUUAAUCUUACUUUUUUUUGAAUCAUUUGGUCUAAAUGAAUCAGUUUGUAUACCGUCGUCGNCAGAUUACCUCUGAAAGUUAAGAAGUUGUCAGAUAAAAUGAGCAAAGUGUUUGUUGUAUUAAGUAUGAUAAAGCUUUGUUUCUUUAGAUGUCAGAUCAAGGUGCAGCUUAUAAAAAAGUAGAGAUGGGUUACAAUAUAUAUUUUGUAUUAUGGAUACUAGUUUGUAAUAACUGGAUGAAAGCGGACUUGGGAGUAAUUUUUUGCGUGNUUANUUAGAAAAUGCAGAUGAAACAUGGUACUAAAGUGCGU